rnacentral:lncRNA from 1 species
AGUUCCUUCAGCUUGAAACAGUUCCGAACGAGCAAAGAACUGAGGCGUGGCAUUACUAUAAAUGUGCAGGUACUGGUACUGGUACUACUAUUACUAUGAUGAACAGAUCCUGGUGGGAUUUCACAAUCCCACUCUUCCCAGUUUUCCAUGAAAUCAAACAUAAGAUCUUGGAGUUGAGGAAAGGAGAAACACGCCUCGGGAAGUUUCUACCUCAGCAUCCAUCUUUAAAGUUGUCACUAAUCAUAGACGGAAAGAGCAUGAAAAGAGAGAUAAAAACACAAAAAUGAAAGGAAAAAAAAAAAGAUGGAACCCCAACAAAGUUGUGACUGCAACCUUUUUUCAAAAUUUUCGCUAAGUGAUUGCACUAAUUAAAAAAUGAAUGCCAGUAUUAAAAAAAGUAUAUGGAUAGAGAACCAACCUCUGAAUCAAUAGCCGCUACAGUUGCAGAAAAUAGAUCCAUCAAGAGUCAUCUAGUACUGACUUUUUUCAAAUCAUGGCAAAUCUUCUCUUUGUCCUUCAACUUGUGACAACCCCAAAUUAUUAAGGAACUGAGGCAUGGCAUUACCAUAAAUGUACUGUUACUAUGAUGAAUAGUUCCUGUUGUGAUUUCAUAAUCCCACUCUUCCCAAUUUUCCAUGUCAUCAAACUUAAGGUACUGGAGUUGAGGGAAGGCAGCAGCAACAGAAUAAAAUGGAAGAGUGCCUAUUCCUAAAAACUCAAGCCCCACUUUUUUCACUUUAGGCAUUUUUGCAAUGUGGAGCUCUUGGAGAGCCGGCAGGAUCCCAAGGGGAGGCAACUGCUCAAUAUUUAUGAACGACCGAAGUUUAAGCUCCCUUAGCCUUUCCAGUUGCAUUAACCAACUUGGACACAUGGUAGGCCCUUUAUAUUCAUUAAUUUCUAAAAAUUCCAAGUCCAAAGGUGGUUGCAUGGCUUCAAGAAGAAGAUGAUCAAUUCUCUCUGUGUCUGUUAUCUGGCCAUUAAAUCUAAGCACCAAGUAAUGAAGGUGUUUCUUAUUUAGAAGCUGCGCAUUUGUAGCCUCCUGGACAUCUUUCACGUUUCCUAAUCCUCUUAUGCGGAGUGUGCCCCGAAGGUUGUUUAGUUGUUGCAGAUCGCUUAGAGUCAUAGAUUCACAAUCAUUACUAUUGUCUCCCACCACCAAGUUCUCUAAUGUACGAAGAGAAGUUAAUCGUACCAACCCUUUGGGAAUAAAUUUUAGACUAUUAGUUCCAUGGUUAUCUAAAUGCCUCAAAUUGAUUAGUUUUCCCAUCCCACGAGGAAGUUCUUUAAGAAACCAACACCAUUGAAUAUUUAGGAUUUGAAGAUUGUAUAAAUAACAUAAAGAUUCAGGUAAUUCUGCCAACUCGAAAUUACUAGACAAGUCAAGAAAUCUCAAAUGUAUCAGUUGUCCUAUCUCUUUCGGAAGUUUAGAGUAAAAAGGCAUGGUAAAAGCUAAUGAUCUAAGACAUGACAAUUGACUAAAUAAAUCAAGUAGAAUUUCAGAGUUAUGGGGAGGAAACCGAACCAAGAGACUUCGUAACUUCUUUAAUUUGUAAACAGAGGCAGGAAAUGGUGAUUUUUUUCCAAUAAACAUCGUUAGAUGACGUGUUCUUUCAUGUAAAGACUCUAUUUUAUGCACUUCAAUAUCGCUAGCUUCUAUCGAAAAACAUUCAUUUUUUGCUAAAAAUUGAGCAAAAUCAUGCACUAUGUCAUGCAUCUUGCAUCUUAAAUUGGUUUUAUCAGAAUAAGAUUCUAUGAAGUCCUGGAAAAAGGAGCGCAUAGCCAAAUUAUCAAAGUAUACCCGGCCAACAAUUUCCAUAUCUUCUUUAAGAUAGCCUUGCGCCAUCCAUAAUCUAAUCAAUUUCUCUCUCUCUAUCUUGUAAUCUUUUGGAAACAUGGCACAAUAUGAAAAACACUGUCUUACUUCAGAAGGCAAAUCAUAAUAACUCAACAGCAAAUGAGGAAAAAGCUCUUGUUCAGCCUCUUUUAGCUCCCAUAUUUGGUUAUCUAACACACUCUCCCAUUGUUCUCUAGUUUUCCUAAAUCGCAAAAGACCUCCAAGGAACUUUGCAGCGAGAGGCAAGCCAUUAGACUUGCGUGCAAUUUUCCUACCGACCUCUUCUAAAUGCUUGCAUUCUUCAUCUGUUCUACCGAAGAAAGCUAUGUUGCUAAACACAGACCAACACUCUUCGUCUGGCAAUUUCUCCAAGAAAUGCAUGUGGGUGCUUCUGCUUCCCAUGAUACUUGCAACACUUUCCUUCCUUGUGGUCACCAAAAUCUUACUUCCUGGAAGACCACACUUGAGAGAAUAUUCCAAACAUGCCCAUUUUAAGCAAUCUUCAUUCCACACAUCAUCCAUGACAAGAAGAAACUUAUUGUUUUUAAUAGACUUUUGUAUUUCUUGCAGUACAUUUUCUAAUUCAACGAGAUUUGGGGUGCUACCAGUAAUGGAUUCAAGGAUUGCCUUAGCAAUCCUAAUCUCAUCAAAAGGAUCUGAGACACACACCCAGAUCCUCUUUUCAAAGCAUUCCACUACAUCCUUAUCAUUAAAGGCCAAUUGAGCCAGAGUUGUCUUUCCUAAUCCUCCCAUCCCAAUUAUGGAGAUCGUUUGGAAGGACGACUCUUGACUACUUUGUUCCAACAGCAUCCUUAUCACUCUAUUUUUACUUUCUUCUCUACCGUGCACCUGAUAUUCAUCGAUGACAGAGCUAGUCAUUUGUCGUUCAAGAUCUCUUGUUUCCCUUCCAGACUGAAACCCAUACCUGAUUCUCUCAUUGGCGAUAGCAUCUAAUCUUUCAUUCAGCUUUUUGAUUUUUUGGGCAAUGUCAUGGCGCAAAAUAACUUGGUUGAUGCAAAGGCAAGAGGAGGGCAGAAAUGAGCAUACCUUGAGUAUGGAGCCAUUCUCAACCUUCUUUUCUUCAGCUUCAACUUGUAGUUUAAGUAGAGCAGUAUUCCACUCAUCCAACACAUCCUCCAUAUCAUAUGAAGCAUCUUUUAGUUCCUCUAACCAGUUCCUGACGUUGGCCUCCUUCACCCCACGUUUCUCUGCAUCUUCAAGCACAUCUUGAAUGGCUUUGAAAUUAUGGGUAAGCUUUUGGAUUUCCUCUUCAACACCCACAACCAGUCGCACCUCUCUCUCCACCUCUUUGUAAGCAAUGGAAACCAACUGUUGCAGGACUGCAGAUACAAUUGCAUCAGCCAUUCUUAGGAUAUGAGAAAGGAAUCAAAAUUAAGAAGGUAGAUGAAGUCAACCAAGGGGCUUAGACGAUGGUUUCUCUCCUCCUAAAGUUCUAUUAGAUGAAUGAUGACUUGCUUCCUAGAAAAAAUUUAAAUGAAUCAUGCGAUCAUCAUUUUGUUUAUAUUUAUAUUUAUUUAGUAACUACGUGAUGAAUAAUGGAGAAAGAAAGACUUUUUUCAAUUAAUUUCACGUAUCCUUCCAAUAAUACCCAUGAGUUUACUUCAACCAAUCUCUUGCAUGUAUUGCAUUAGUAAGGCUGCGUUUUAAUAUUUAAAUUUUUAAUGAUAAUGACAACUACUCACAUGAUGCAAUGAUAGGUAGCGGACGAUAAAUAUUGCAUGAUUUUUUAGCAAUAGUAAGCUACAGGCGUGACCAGUGGAUGGGGAAGAGACGUAGGUGGUGAAUACCAGUGGCAGACGGAGGUGACUGGUGGAUAGGGAAGGGUGAUUAGGGAGCUGCAGAGGAUAGCCAAUGAGGGGUGGAAGGAGCUCGAUAUAUUGCUGAACCACAUAAAAAAUUAUAUCUUCUUUCUUUCUCCAUUGGGAUGAGUACUUCCAUAACAAAAAAAAAAAAAAAAAACUAUCAAGUAUAAAAAUUUGGCUAUAUACAAUUUUAGAUUGUAUUUAGUAAUAACUUGAUCACAAUUAGCAGAAAAAUAAAGGAAGCUCCUAAAUAAUUUCACCUACCCAUUAAAAUAACAUUGAUGAACUGGCUUUCUAUAGUUUUCAAUCAGUCAGAUGAUCUCAUUGCAUCAUUAAUUUAUGAUGUCAAAUAAGAUAAUCAAAGCUGCAACAUGCUGAGCAUUAUCUAGGGCUAACAAGAUAAACCUUUUUAACUUUUUAAAAUCAUAUUUUGACAUAGACCCUUUAUUUAUAUAUAUACAAAUGUACAAAAUAUUAAAAUCAAAUCUUUUGAUACUAUGGAUUAAUCAAUUAAGGAGGUGUGAUAGACAGUAUAAUAGAAUAUAUUUCUUAUCUCUCCUUAUAUAAUUCAAGCUCUCUGCAUGAUUGGUUCAAAGGUCAACACUUGAACAUAAUUCAAUUAAAUUAUACAUCACUAACUCUCCAAUCUUUAUCACCCCUUAGAAUAAUUCAUUUUUUCAAAAAAAAAAAAGGGAAAAAAGAGGAAGAAAAAAAGAUUGAAAGACAAAUACUUAGAUUUAUUUAGUAAAAACUUGAUCAAUAAUGGAGAAAGAAGAACACUUUUUAAUUAAUUUCACCCACCCUUCAAAUAACAAACAUGAGUUGACUCCUAAUAGUUUCAAUCAAUCUCUUGAAUUCAUUGCAUUAGCAAGGGUGAGUUCUAUAAGGGCUGUAAUUUGUGCAAUAAUUUUGUAAAUUACUCUCAAAUAAAAGUGAUUUUAAUAAGAAAUUGUUAAAAAUUUACUGAAAAUAACUAUAGAAACUACUAUUAUCUUAAAAUACAUAAAUUGAAUAUUUAAUUAAAAUAACUAUUGAUAUUGAAAUUUAUAAAUAUAUAUAUAUAGUAGCAAGUGAAAAUAAAAGUUAUGUAUUUAGUAUAUAAUAGCAUUAGAUAAUAAAAUAAUAUAAAAUAUAUUGAAAAACAAAUUUAAUUUAAUAAUUAUUUAUAAAAUAAUGAUAAUACUUAUAAAUGUAAUAUUAGAUACUAUAUGUAAUUUAUAAAAUAAUAGUAAUACAUUGUAUAAAAAAAAGUACAGAUUUUUCCAGCAAAAGAAUAGGUUCUCAUCCCAAAAAAAAAAAAAAAAUUAAGUUUCAUAUUGGAGUCUACAAGUUUUGCCUUAAAAAAUCUAAAUUUUUCUUCCAAUUUUUUCUAAUAGAAAAAAAAAUACUAACAUUUAUAAGUUAAAAGAAUUACAUCAACAUCUUGCCAUUAUCAACCUCUACAUAAAUUGUUGGUAACUGUUGAAGGAUGGAUGAAAUAAUCACUGUAAUCACGAUUCAAUAGCUCCUAAACGUUUUAUACUAAAUAUCAGCUGUUGAUUGUGUUAGAAAACGACAAGUCAUUUAUUACUAAUAGGAGAAAAAACUAAUUUUUACUUCCUAGAUCCCUAUCUCCUUAUCUAUUAUCGGUGACACCAACCAUGUGAUAAAACUACAAUAAUGAGACAAACUUGUAAUUGGAAUACCAACAAUCGCUAGUGAAUGAAGACUAGCACAUAUACCUCACGUAUGCACAUGUGAGUAGGAAUUUUCUUGUUGAUCUAUUUGCACAUAUUAACCAAUCUAGUUUGAUCAUUUCUUUAAAUAAUCUUGUUGCACUUUAUACUACUAAUGAAGUAGUUCUCGUUCCUGAUAACUGCAUGAUGCAUCAACAAUUUCUUCAGGUAAUUUUGCUUUGCCUUGUUGGUAUUAUAGCCCUAAGAAAUUUAUAAUUUUAAUUAGCUUUUAAUUUUAUAUUAAAUUAUCAAAAAUCUCAUUUUUAAAGAUUAUGAGAGCAUAUUCAAAUUUUUACCUAUUUGAACUUCACUGCUUAAAGUUCGCGAUUAAAUUUUCACCGAGCAAAAUAGAUGGUAUAUGUCAAGAAGAUUUUAAUUUGAAUUUUUUUUUUUAAGAACAAAAUUUUUUUUAGAUUAUUACUAUUGUUUUAUAUUUUGAAGUUAUUUAAAUAAUUCAGAUUUAUGUAACCAUUAUAGUGUUUUAGUUUUUUUUUAUUAAUUAUAAUUAAUUCUUAUUAUGAAGGCUAUCAGUUACAACAACGAGAAAUAAACCAUAAUGAGUUAAGAAUGUGUUUGUCAUAGUUAUAUUUCGUAUAUUCUCUUUCACUAUUCAAUUUUUGCUCAUCUAACCUAUCUUGUUAAUUCGAUUUCUUAUUGUAUUUCUUAACUUUAAUCUCUAAUUUCAUUUUAUUUAUCUGUAUUCUUAUAUUAAUGGGCUAAAAUUUCUUUAUUUUUAAACUAUGUCAUACUAGGUUAUUAUUUACUAUUAUUAUCAUCUUUUUCAGUAUUUGAUUAAUUCAACUUUUGAAGUAAUCAACUAACCAUAAAUAUUUAACAACUAAGAUUUUACCAUAAAAAAAAAAUAAAAAAAAAAGGACUUCCAAUAUAUUCAGGAUUUAAUAUAUUAAGACAAUUAUUUUUUAAGUAUUAAUAGUCAAAGAAAAUAGACAAUGUAAGAAGAAAAGAACAAGAUAUGAUAUUAGCGAUAUCCAUGAUAUAGAUCAGGGUCAUCUUGUAGAGUUAAAACAAUACCGCAAAAUGUUGCAGACACGAUAAAAGAACUAAAUCCAUUGCUGUGUAUAUAUUUGUUUGACUUAGAAAUGAUCAUAUUGUAGGCAUCGCCAUGUAGUUAGUCUUCUAGGGUAUUGCCAAGAAACUGGAUAUCAAAUGCUAAUAUAUGAAUAUUUAUCAAAUGACAGCAUGUGCAAUUACCUGUAUGGUAUGAAUCCUUUUAGCAGUUUAUACUAGUUUGUGCAUGAUGUAAAUACUACUGUUUCCAGUAAUAAUACACAAUUUUGCAGAUACCGUAGUAAAGUCAUCAACCUAAUUAGAGCUCAAACAGAGGCUAUUAAAGCUCUUGGAGCAGCUAAAGGUAAACUCAAACAAAUCUGAUGAGAAAUUUUGAAGUCAAGAGUUGAGAAAGACUCCAUUAAAUUUCAAUUUGCAGAAGAAAAAAUUGCAGGUUUAUAUCAUUUGCACGGCCUUAAACCUCCCCUUUGUUCACAAUAAUUUCACGACCACUAAUGUCUUGGUUGAUGAGAACUUUAAUGCUAACGUUGCAGAUGCUGAAAUCUCAAACCUACUUGUAGAUGAAGCUGGUCCAUCUCACACAUCUAGAGUCAGUGUUUUCCUGGACCCAGAGUAAUCAAAUUCAAUCUUGUUGCAUUUUUCUUGUUCAUGGAAGGAUUGAUUAGCUUUCACCUCUACUCAUUUUCAUGUCUUGUAUGAUGCUUAGGGUAGGAGUAUCGGGGACCUUCACUGAUGCAAGUGACAUUGACAGCUUUGGAGUAUUUCUCUUGGAGCUUUUAACAAGUCAGGAGGCUCUGUACGUUGAUUCACUGGGAUCUAAUGAAAGCUCGAUUCAUUGGGUAUUAAUUGCUAUUUUAGUCAGUAAAAAGUUUCUCUUGUUUGUUGUCCUACACGCGCGCACGCGCAUGCACAUACACGCGCGCACGCGCAUGCACAUACACGCAAACCAGAAGAGAAAUGUAAAACAGCUGUAAAGGAAUUGAUAUUCAAGUAACAAUUUGUUUGUUGAUUAUGAAAAAUAAUAGCUGUUCGUUACCAAAAACAUCUUCCACUACUUCAAUACUUCUAUUUUAUUUAUGAACUCGUAUAUAAAAUGCUUAUCUACUUUAAAAAAUAUUCGAAAAUUUAUUAUAAAGAGUUUUAACUCAUUUUCAACGAUCAAUCUUAUAAUUUUUCAUUAGUUUUUCAUAUUAUCAGUCUGAUGAUAUACUAAUUUUUUUUUUUAAAAAAAGAAGUUAUUAAGAAUAAAAAGAAAUAGUUUACAAAGAUGAAUAAUAAGUAUUCUCCUAAAGAUUUCACUUAAAAAAGCUCUAAAUCGAAAACAAAUUACUGAAUGUGGCAACCAGGCCCUAAAGAUCAAACUAUUAUUGCCUCCCAAUUCCGAUUGAUAUUCAAAAAUUCCUCAUUGGCCUUUGUCCAUAAUGUGGCCAAAGAGGUCAUUUUUCUCCCGCAUAAAUUGGAUUUCCAGAUACUGCUCCUGAUUCAUAUCAACUAAACCAUCUAAGUGAAAAAAAAAAAAAGUAAGAACAAUGAUUUUGACAAACAACUUGCCUCAAUUUGGCAGACUGGAUGCAUCAGUCCUCCGAAUCCACAUCACAUGAUAGCAAGUGUUGAAUUAAUAGCACAAACACAUCAACAAUAGAAAAAAAUUCUUGUAAGGCUCAAUCUAGAUCAGCUAAAACUUUAUGUGAACACGAAAAGACAUGAAAAUAGUUAAAGCAAUUCUUAAAUUGAAGAAGACAAUCAACUGUAAAAACUUUUAGCUUAUCUAGUUGUCUAAUCAUAAUUAUUUCGUAGUUACUAAAUACAUCAGCAAGUUAAAAGCAUUUUUACAGAGCUUAUAAAGCUUCUUGCUAACCAAAUCAUAAGCUGAGUCAAACAUCCUCUUAAUUUCAGUCAGUUAUUUUGUAGGUAAUAACUGUAGCCUAAUAGUAUAACUGUUAUAACAGGAGAUCAAUUGGAAGCAAGUGUGUCAAAAAUAAUUCCUUUCCUCCUCACUGCUUUGAAAUUACCACACAAGACUCCCUGUCUUCUCUUUGUCAAACUAAGAUCCAUGAUGGAUGAAGAAGCAGGGUCCAUAAAGAUCUUAGGUUGCCCUACUAAAAUAUUUUCCUUACACAUCACUCCAACCUAACAUACAUGGAUUUCAUGAUACCCAUCAAAUCCUUCAUGUCAUACACACAUUCACGGACAAUAAAUUGAUUGGCAGCAACAUAUGGCGCACAGAUAUAUAUAUAUAUAAACACAACCAGUCUACCAUAUAAUGAAAAACCCAAAUGCCAUAAACAAUACCCACAUUUAAAAUUAUUUAUAUAAGGAGAUAGUCGAAAGAUUGAUGACCAACAUACGGCUGUAAUGACUGUGAGUUUAUAUAAAUCUGCUAAACAAAAAAACAUUAAGGAAGAUAUGAACAGAGUAGGUGAAACCUGAGGAGGAACAACAGUGAGAGAAGAUUGGAUUGCAGAAUCAGUAGGAACAACCCUGGAGGUUGAAGGACAGACAAAGACCUAUGAAGAGCCGAGGGUUAAACGAAAGACUCCAUUUUUAGUUAUGAUUUUGGUUUUUGCCAUCUCUCCAUCAGCAGCUCUGCUUUUAGCCUAAUUUACAUAGGCUACUAACAUUUCCAGAAAGAAAUGAAGAAUUAAACCAGCAUUUGGCGACUUGAAACUUGAAAAUUAUAAAUUACAAAUGUAUGGAUUAUAAUGUUGAUUUAAAUUUUGUAAAUCAUUACUAAAAAUUUAUGGAAGUUCAUUGGUUAUAAGGGCUACAAAAGAAAAUAGCAAACACAUUUGAUGUUCAACUAUCCAUUUAUCAAUGAAACAAACUUGAGCAAAGUUUUCAUUUGCGACUCAGAUCUUCUAUAUAAAACUUAAGCAAAUAAUGCUUACAGAAUGACAAAAUCGCAAGGAUUAUGCUUUCUAAGAACAAGACAGUAAAUUUAAUUCCUGAAGCUGCAGGAACGUUCCUCAAGCCUGCCUGUAAAGGGGAAGAAGGGACACGCUACGUUUCUAAGAGCACGCCUGUAAAGGGAAGGAGGGACAUGCCUGCCAAGUGUCAGCAGCAGAUGGGUCACUUGAUCACGCCAGUAGAGGGAAGGAGAAACACGCCUCGGGAAGUUUCUACUCGAACAUCCAUCUUUGACGUUGCGCCUAAUCAUAGAAGAAAAGAGCAUGAGAAGAGAGAGAAACAUAUAAAAAUCAACUCAAUAAAAAAAAAAAAGAAAAAGAUGGACGAAGCAUGUAUGAGAAAUCUGAGAUGAAAAAGAGCAUUCUACAUGGAACCCCAACAAAGUUGGGGCUGCAGCCUUUUAAAAAAUUUGCGAAGUGAUCUUACUAACUAAAGAACGAAUGCCAGUAUUAAAAAAAAUUGUAGUUGGAGAACGAACCCCUGAAUCAAUAGCCGCUACACUUGCAGAAAAUUGAUCAUUCAAGCGUGACUUUUCUUAAAUCCUCGUAAGUCUUUUUUAGUUCUUUCAACUUAUAACAACGUAGAAUGAGCAACGAACGGAGACGUGGCAUUACCAUAACUGAGCAGGUACUGGUACAACUAUUACUAUGAUGAAUAGUUCCUGUUGUGAUUUCACAAUCCCACUCUUCCCAGUUUUUCAUGUUCUCAAACGUAAGGUCUUGGAGUCGAGGGAAGGCAGCAGAAGAAGAACAUUGAAAAGUGCCUAUUUCUAAAAACUCAAGACCCACUUUUCUCACUUUAGGCAUUUUUCUAAUCUGGAGCACCUGGAGAGACAACAAGAUCCCAACUGGAGGCAACUGCUCAAUAUUUAUAAAAGACUCAAGUCUAAGCUCCCUUAGCCUUGGCAGUUGCAUUAACCAACUUGGACACAUAGUAGGCCCUUUAUAUUCAUUAACUUCUAAAAAUUCCAAGUCCAAAGUUGGUUGCAGGGCUUCAAGAAGAAGAUGAUCAAUUCUCUCUGUGUCUGUUAUCUGUCCAUCAAAUCUAAGCACCAACUCAUGAAGAUGUUUCUUAUUAAGAAGCUGAGCAUUUGUAGCCUCCUGCACAUGUUUCACAUUUCCUAAUCCUCUAAUGUAGAGACUACCACGAAGGUUGUUUAGUUGUUGCAGAUCCCUUAGAGUCAUAGCUGUAACAUCAUUACUAUUGCCUCCCACCACCAGGUUUUCUAAUGUACGAAGAGAAGUUAAUCUUCCCAACCUUUUGCGAAUAAAUGUUAGACUAUAAGUUCCC